rnacentral:rRNA from 1 species
CAGCCGCCACGGUAAUACAGAGGGUGCGAGCGUUAAUCGGAUUUACUGGGCGUAAAGCGUGCGUAGGCGGCUUUUUAAGUCGGAUGUGAAAUCCCUGAGCUUAACUUAGGAAUUGCAUUCGAUACUGGGAAGCUAGAGUAUGGGAGAGGAUGGUAGAAUUCCAGGUGUAGCGGUGAAAUGCGUAGAGAUCUGGAGGAAUACCGAUGGCGAAGGCAGCCAUCUGGCCUAAUACUGACGCUGAGGUACGAAAGCGUGGGGAGCAAACAGGAUUAGAUACCCCGGUAGUCCCUGUCUCUUAUAC